rnacentral:rRNA from 1 species
AACGAACGUUGGCGGCGUGCCUAACACAUGCAAGUCGAACGAGAAAUCCCGGGCUUGCUCGGGAGAGUAAAGUGGCGCACGGGUGAGUAACGCGUGGGUAACCUGCCCUGAAGUGGGGGAUAACUCGCCGAAAGGCGGGCUAAUACCGCAUAAGUUCUUUGGACAUAAGUUCAAAGGGGAAAGGUGGCCUCUUCUUGAAAGCUACCGCUUCAGGAUGGGCCCGCGUUGGAUUAGCUUGUUGGUGAGGUAAUGGCUCACCAAGGCUACGAUCCAUAGCUGGUUUGAGAGGACGACCAGCCACACUGGAACUGAGACACGGUCCAGACUCCUACGGGAGGCAGCAGUGAGGAAUAUUGCGCAAUGGGGAAACCCUGACGCGGCGACGCCGCGUGGGUGAAGAAGGCCUUCGGGUUGUAAAGCCCUGUCAGAGGGGAAGAAAGGGGAUGCGGUUAAUACCCGUAUCCAUUGACGGUACCCUCAGAGGAAGCACCGGCUAACUCCGUGCCAGCAGCCGCGGUAAUACGGAGGGUGCAAAUGUUGUUCGGAUUUACUGGGCGUAAAGAGCACGUAGGCGGAUAGGCAAGUCAGGUGUGAAAGCCCGGGGCUUAACCCCGGAAUUGCACUUGAAACUGUCUGUCUUGAGUGUGGUAGAGGGGAGUGGAAUUCCCGGUGUAGAGGUGAAAUUCGUAGAUAUCGGGAGGAACACCUGUGGCGAAGGCGACUCCCUGGGCCAUAACUGACGCUGAGGUGCGAAAGCGUGGGGAGCAAACAGGAUUAGAUACCCUGGUAGUCCACGCCGUAAACGAUGAGUACUAGGCGUAGGGGGUAUAAACUCCCUCCGUGUCGAAGUUAACGCAUUAAGUACUCCGCCUGGGAAGUACGGCCGCAAGGCUAAAACUCAAAGGAAUUGACGG